rnacentral:rRNA from 1 species
UACAGAGGUCUCGAGCGUUGUUCGGAUUCAUUGGGCGUAAAGGGCGCGUAGGCGGCGGGGUAAGUCUGGUGUGAAAACUAGGAGCUCAACUCCUAAACUGCACUGGAUACUGCUCUGCUGGAGGACUGGAGAGGAGACUGGAAUUCACGGUGUAGCAGUGAAAUGCGUAGAUAUCGUGAGGAAGACCAGUGGCGAAGGCGGGUCUCUGGACAGUUCCUGACGCUGAGGCGCGAAGGCCAGGGGAGCAAACGGG